rnacentral:rRNA from 1 species
GCUGACCUACGGGUGGCAGCAGUAGGGAAUCUCCGGCAAUGGACGAAAGUCUGACCGAGCAACGCCGCGUGAGUGAAGAAGGUUUUCGGAUCGUAAAACUCUGUUGUUAGAGAAGAACAAGGAUGAGAGUAACUGUUCAUCCCUUGACGGUAUCUAACCAGAAAGCCACGGCUAACUACGUGCCAGCAGCCGCGGUAAUACGUAGGGGGCGAGCGUUGUCCGGAAUUAUUGGGCGUAAAGGGCGCGUAGACGGCUGUGUAAGUUAUAGGUGAAAGCCCAACUUUCAAGGUUGGAACUGCCUGUAAUACUGCAUGGCUUGAGUGCAGGAGAGGGAAGCGGAAUUCCUAGUGUAGCGGUGAAAUGCGUAGAUAUUAGGAGGAACACCAGUGGCGAAGGCGGCUUUCUGGACUGUAACUGACGUUGAGGCGCGAAAGAGUGGGGAGCAAACAGGAUUAGAUACCCCAGUAGUCGUUCG